GUCCACGCCCUAAACGAUGGAUACUCGACAUCAGCGAUACACUGUUGGUGUCUGAGCGAAAGCAUUAAGUAUCCCACCUGGGAAGUACGACCGCAAGGUUGAAACUCAAAGGAAUUGACGGGGUCCGCACAAGCGGUGGAGCAUGUGGUUUAAUUCGAUGAUACGCGAGGAACCUUACCUGGGCUAGAAUGUCGGGGAAUAUGGGUGAAAGCUCAUAGCGUAGCAAUACGCCGCCGAUAAGGUGCUGCAUGGCUGUCGU
rnacentral:rRNA from 1 species